GAUUUCUUUUCCAGCCUUUGCAGGGAGAUCUCUCUUCCCAUCUCCUUCCUGGAAGACAGAAGCCUUGUGCGAGCCCCUUGUGUGAUGUCACCCCAGCUAGGGCCACCGGACGUUGGUCCUCAGCAGGGAGACUUUGGGUCCUCCACCAGGACCCAGGGCUGACCUGCAUGGCCAGGCCCCAUGGCCUGGGUAGAACCUUGUUUCUGCUCCAGAAUUCAUCUGUGUUCCCCAGUGCUCCCGGGGCCCUUGCACAGACCUCUGCGGCUCCAAAGGCUUCCUGCUGUAAUACUCUGUGCACACAGCUGAAUCCCUGACUCCACUCUGCUGAGAAGGAAAAAACGAUCAACGAACCUUCAUUUAAGAAAAAGCACAGCGUUCUCAUGGGAACCAAGAAGACAAGCCCUUAAUGCAAAGUGUAUUCAGAGAGAAGAAAACAAGAAAAGCAGAGACGAUUGGAUUACAGCAAUUGCUCUUAUAACUCCUCUCCGCCCACCCCCUCGAUGAGAAGCUGGUUUGAAGGACUGAGUAUCAAAUCCCUACUGAGCUCUGAGGUUCCAGGUGUGGAUGGAGUGUGGGGCCCAUGUGUGUGUC
ensembl:lncRNA RPLP0P2 ribosomal protein lateral stalk subunit P0 pseudogene 2